rnacentral:lncRNA from 1 species
UGUCAAAAUUAUCAUUCAUAAUAUAUUGAAUUGGUUGUGUCUUUCUGAUGAUGGUCAGGUUGGCCGAGCCACACUCGGGCCUGAUCACUCAUUUGUCAUAUAUACUAAAUUCUGAAAUGUUAAUGGUUGGACCUAACCAGAACUUUCAAUGGAGGUGCCACACUCCUGCUGAAGAGGUGUCUAGAGCAAAAUUGAAUGCUAGAAAUUGUUUGGUGAAAUAAUUGGUUAAAAACCUAUCUAUGAGUGCACAGG